rnacentral:misc_RNA from 1 species
AAAACAUGCCACCAACCUCGGAUCUGUUACAAUUACAUAAGCAAACAACUGUUAACUGACCAUAGUUUUUAACAUUUGAAAGAGACUUUUGAAGUCAAAUGAAGGAAUUGGAUAUACUGCUAUUUUCAUUUUUCAACAGUUAAGCAUCACUUCCUAGAUAUCAUUUACUGUCUAAAAAUUAACAAGUCAACAAAAAUUGGAAAAGGCAUCUACAUGAUUGUAUAAAGAUGGCCCAAAGUCAGUAGCAGAGACAAAGUCACAUCAACAGAGAAUUCCAAGGGCAUUGGCAAUUUUUACCGUUUCAUUAUCAUGAGUUCCAG